rnacentral:rRNA from 1 species
GACGAACGCUGGCGGCGUGCCUAAUACAUGCAAGUCGAGCGAACUUGCGGGAGCUUGCUCCCAAAAGUUAGCGGCGGACGGGUGAGUAACACGUGGGCAACCUGCCUGUAAGACUGGGAUAACUUCGGGAAACCGGAGCUAAUACCGGAUGAUUCCUUUCCUCUCAUGAGGAAAGGCUGAAAGAUGGUUUCGGCUAUCACUUACAGAUGGGCCCGCGGCGCAUUAGCUAGUUGGUGAGGUAACGGCUCACCAAGGCGACGAUGCGUAGCCGACCUGAGAGGGUGAUCGGCCACACUGGGACUGAGACACGGCCCAGACUCCUACGGGUGGCAG